rnacentral:rRNA from 1 species
GACGAACGCUGGCGGCGUGCUUAACACAUGCAAGUCGAACGCUGAAGCCCUGGCUUUUGUUGGGUUGGAUGAGUGGCGAACGGGUGAGUAACACGUGAGUAACCUGCCCUCUUCUUUGGGAUAACGCCCGGAAACGGGUGCUAAUACUGGAUAUUCACUGGCCUUCGCAUGGGGGUUGGUGGAAAGGUUUGUUCUGGUGGGGGAUGGGCUCGCGGCCUAUCAGCUUGUUGGUGGGGUGAUGGCCUACCAAGGCUUUGACGGGUAGCCGGCCUGAGAGGGUGACCGGUCACAUUGGGACUGAGAUACGGCCCAGACUCAUACGGGAGGCAGCAGUGGGGAAUAUUGCACAAUGGGCGAAAGCCUGAUGCAGCGACGCCGCGUGAGGGAUGGAGGCCUUCGGGUUGUAAACCUCUUUCGCUCAUGGUCAAGCCGCAACUGUGGGUUGUGGUGAGGGUAGUGGGUAAAGAAGCGCCGGCUAACUACGUG